AAACAUCACACCGCACAACACCAUCCAUAGCCUCAACCGAUCCUUUGUCUGUUCGAUCUCCCAAAUAUUUACAACGCAUCUAUAUCCCUACAAUUGCUAUCGCAUCUCAAGACUUAUUCCAUCGUUUUCUUCACCGUUGCUCUCACCGACGAACUUUCACUGUAGUGGACUUUCUAGCAAUAUUGAAGAACAGUACCUGAACUGACUAAAGAUUACCGAAUAGGUGAAUUCAACCGAUAUAAUUCAAGGUACAAAUUGAUGGUAAAACAAUUUCUUUGUAUCAUACAUGGGCUUUAAUUAAAUAUUUUUUUAAUUGUUAAUGGCUCAACAGUUGGUUAUCCUAUUUUUUUCUCAUGAAAGAAUUGACUCAUUAUUCAUGAAUCUAGCAAAUGACAUGUUGACAGAAGACUAGAAAUAACAAGAACAUCUUAAGUGAUGUUAAUCUGAGAGGAGGAGUUCAUAUUUAUUUUGUGUUGUCAACGAAGAGCUUUAUCAUGCUUGAGCUACUAUCAAUUGUGGAGAAGUUGCGAGACAUAUGGUACAAAGGAUCUAGAAAUCAACAAAGUAAGGUUUGUAGUAGAUUUUAUGAUCUGCUAACCAGUAUUUUACAUUUGACUGUCAUCUAUGUAGCUGGUUUUUAAUUUACCAUAGAGUUGUGCUUUCAUAUGAUCAGUGUAUCAGUGAUCAACUCACUAGAACAUGCUUACAAAUAAUAUUAUUUACAUGUGAAUGCCUUUAAUCUUUCUAAUAAUGAUGCAGGCUUUCUCCCAUAUGAGGAGAAGAAGGUAAUGGAGAAAAUUUGUGUUGCAUUUUAGGUAGAUGACUCUGAAAAUUUGGUUGAUUUCUUGCUGGACUUUGAUUAGGAUAAGUUUAUGAAAGCUUUUUUAAUGGUAUGAUUCUAUCAACGAUAUGUGUUAACAUUCAAUUCAUAUGCGUAUACCCCAUAUUCUACUAAAGGGAUCUUACUCACUAUCUCUCUUUCCGUUUCUGUAUUUUAUGGUUAGCAUGUUCAGUUAUGUAUUUACUUUAUUUUUCGUUUUCGGUAUUUUGAUAUUUCGACUUCUAACUAAUGCAUAUGAUGGGCAUAUAUAAGGCAUGUGGGCACGGGAGGCACCAGCGAAGCUUUAGCGCCUGCUGUAUGUGGGCAUAUUUCGUGCUUCUUUGGGUUGUAUAUGUUACCUUUUUAGGUUCUACAUAGAGGUUAUGUAUAUGUUAACCGUAUAUAGAGGUUUUAUUAUCUAAGUUUUGAGUGUUUAAGGAGUGGUACUUGUCAUUAUAUUAAAUAUUAUGUA